rnacentral:rRNA from 1 species
AUGUUCUUUGGGGAGCAAGGAAGGAGCAACGCAAAACCAAAGCCCAUUUGGACUUGCCCGGCCACGGAUGUUGUCAAGAUAAAUUUUGAUGGAUCUUUCGACCCGGAGUCCAGGCACGCAGGCUGGGGCUGCAUCGCCCGUGACCAUUCAAGAGGGGUGAUCUUCGCGGCAGCAGGAAAACUUGCACACAUGAGCGAAGCCCUGCAUGCCGAGGCGUGUGCCCUCAUGUAUGCAAUGAAGCUAGCAGAAGACCAUGGAAUGGGACGGGUUGUUUUUGAAACUGACUGCACCGGAGUCCAGCAGGCUGUCACGACAACUACACUGGAUCGGUCCAACCUGGGCACCCUCUUUCGUGAGAUCAAAUACCUUCUCCAAAUGGGUUUUAUUGAGUGGAAAGUCACAUACUGCCCACGCCUAUGUAAUGUUCCUGCCCAAGAACUAGCGGCUAUUGGUAGGCGGGACGACAAUGCCGGCCUCCAUGUGUGGUCGGUAAACCUCCCUAAAGUUGUAACCGAUGCGGUGACCGCCGAUAUGGCUGGUCCACGGUGA